rnacentral:sRNA from 1 species
UGANGGUUCAGAUCAACAAGCUGUAAGGCAACUGCCACUACAACAAAAAAAGCCUUUGGCGACAGAUUGUUUUUGUCUCCAAACAUCAAAAUUUCGUCACUAAAGUGAUUUGUGACGAAAAAAAUUUAUCACCACGUUCG